GAAGGCUCAGCCUCCUUUUCGCAUCCUCCCAAAAGCCAGAAGGGCAGGGAUGAUGGUGGGAAAGUUGUUGGUGAAGCCAGGCCGACCUGGGCCAGAAGCCAGAGCAUGUCACACCUGCAGCUGUGUGACCUUGGGCCCAAAUGCAGGAACAAAGCCGGCCUUGAAGGAUUGCUGCUUCACGUAAUGGGCCACGGCAGACGAGAGCACUCAGCAUGGCCACCUCACCACUGAAGAUUCAGGCAAUGGCAGGGUUGUUGAGAGGAGUCAAUGGCAUAAUGUACGUAGCGUGGUUGGCACGAGGUCUGGUGUGGAGUGGGGCUCGGUGAAUGCUUCCCUCCAGCAUGGGGAGAGGUCCAGGCAUGACAUCCUCAGCCAAGUCUCCUGUAACCCAGGCUGCUGUCCUCUGUCCCUGCUGUUAAUGUGGAAGGAGGGGACUGAGGUCUCUGGAGCUGGCACAGGACCAGCACAUUGGCUGCAAAGAGCCCAGGUUCCCCACUCUGCCCCAGACUC
rnacentral:lncRNA from 1 species